UACGUAGGGUGCAAGCGUUUAAUCGGAAUUACUGGGCGUAAAGCGUGCGCAGGCGGUUUUGUAAGACCGAUGUGAAAUCCCCGGGCUUAACCUGGGAACUGCAUUGGUGACUGCAAGGCUUGAGUGUGUCAGAGGGAGGUGGAAUUCCGCGUGUAGCAGUGAAAUGCGUAGAUAUGCGGAGGAACACCGAUGGCGAAGGCAGCCUCCUGGGAUAACACUGACGCUCAUGCACGAAAGGCGUGGGGAGCAAACAGG
rnacentral:rRNA from 1 species